rnacentral:lncRNA from 11 species
UGACUGUGUUGCAUUGUCACAGAAAAUCUAGCACAGUAACACUGAGAGCCCUUCCAGACAGGCCCUAUAUCCCAGAAUCUGAUCCCAGGUUUUCUGUUUAUCUCAGAUUAUUUGACAUGCUCAUCUUUUCUAGAAGUAGAUCAUCGGUUAUUACAAGGGCAAGUUUAAACAUGCACACCUUGCGUGUAGUACAAAAAUGUCUCUGUUCUCUCACCUUCCCAUAUCACUCCUGGAAUGAAUUGACCGAUCCAGAAAUGUCGUCGCUUGAAGUGAAGGACAAAAUGGCACUCCAGUCCAACUCCUGUGGAAAAGCCAACUUUACUGGUAAUGGAAAGUUUGGGAAGCAUUCUGAAUAUAUUUGGAGGCAGCAUGCUAGCGAGUGAACAUAGCACACACUGCACAGCUCUCUAAAACUUGGCAAUUUCCUCCCACCAUCUCCUGUCUGAGGUAAGCAUCUAACCUUGUCUAAUAUUAGGGAUUGCCCUAUAUGUUAAGGUUAGUGUGUAUUUAU